rnacentral:rRNA from 1 species
AACGAACGCUGGCGGCAGGCCUAACACAUGCAAGUCGAGCGCACCUUCGGGUGAGCGGCGGACGGGUGAGUAACGCGUGGGAAUAUGCCCAGAUCUACGGAAUAGCCUCGGGAAACUGAGAGUAAUACCGUAUACGCCCUUCGGGGGAAAGAUUUAUCGGAUUUGGAUUAGCCCGCGUUGGAUUAGGUAGUUGGUGGGGUAAUGGCCUACCAAGCCUACGAUCCAUAGCUGGUUUGAGAGGAUGAUCAGCCACACUGGGACUGAGACACGGCCCAGACUCCUACGGGAGGCAGCAGUGGGGAAUCUUAGACAAUGGGGGAAACCCUGAUCUAGCCAUGCCGCGUGAGUGACGAAGGCCCUAGGGUCGUAAAGCUCUUUCAGCUGUGAAGAUAAUGACGGUAGCAGCAGAAGAAACCCCGGCUAACUCCGUGCCAGCCGCCGCCGUAACAC